AUUGAACGCUGGCGGCAUGCCUUACACAUGCAAGUCGAACGGUAACGGGCCUUCGGGUGCCGACGAGUGGCGAACGGGUGAGUAAUACAUCGGAACGUGCCCGAUCGUGGGGGAUAACGAGGCGAAAGCUUUGCUAAUACCGCAUACGAUCUACGGAUGAAAGCAGGGGACCGCAAGGCCUUGCGCGGACGGAGCAGCCGAUGGCAGAUUAGGUAGUUGGUGGGAUAAAAGCUUACCAAGCCGACGAUCUGUAGCUGGUCUGAGAGGAUGAUCAGCCACACUGGGACUGAGACACGGCCCAGACUCCUACGGGAGGCAGCAGUGGGGAAUUUUGGACAAUGGGCGCAAGCCUGAUCCAGCCAUGCCGCGUGCAGGAUGAAGGCCUUCGGGUUGUAAACUGCUUUUGUACGGAACGAAAAGCCUUCUUUUAAUACAGGAGGGUCAUGACGGUACCGUAAGAAUAAGCACCGGCUAACUACGUG
rnacentral:rRNA from 1 species